AGUGAACGCUGGCGGUAGGCCUAACACAUGCAAGUCGAACGGCAGCACAGUAAGAGCUUGCUCUUACGGGUGGCGAGUGGCGGACGGGUGAGGAAUACAUCGGAAUCUACUUUUUCGUGGGGGAUAACGUAGGGAAACUUACGCUAAUACCGCAUACGACCUACGGGUGAAAGCAGGGGAUCUUCGGACCUUGCGCGAUUGAAUGAGCCGAUGUCGGAUUAGCUAGUUGGCGGGGUAAAGGCCCACCAAGGCGACGAUCCGUAGCUGGUCUGAGAGGAUGAUCAGCCACUCUAGAACUGAGACACGCCCCAGACUUCUACGGGAGGCAGCAGUGGGGAAUAGUGGACUAGGGGCGCAAGCCUGAUCCAGCCACACCGCGUGGGUGAAGAAGGCCUUCGUGUUGUAAAGCCCUUUUGUUGGGAAAGAAAAGCAGCAUGUUAAUACCCCGCUGUUCUGACUGUACCCAAAGAAUACGCACCGGCUAACCGCG
rnacentral:rRNA from 1 species